ensembl:snRNA U5 U5 spliceosomal RNA
CCACUCUGGCUUCUCUUCAACGUAUGAUUCUUUCGCCUUUUACUAAAGAAUUCCGUGGAGAGGAGCAUUUCAAUGAGUCUUGAACUAUUUUUCCUCACCUGGCUUCGGUUAGGUU